UACGUAGGGUGCAAGCGUUGUCCGGAAUUAUUGGGCGUAAAGAGCUCGUAGGCGGUUCGUCGCGUCGGCUGUGAAAUCCCGAGGCUCAACCUCGGGUCUGCAGUCGAUACGGGCGGACUGGAGUUCGGCAGGGGAGACUGGAAUUCCUGGUGUAGCGGUGAAAUGCGCUGAUAUCAGGAGGAACACCGGUGGCGAAGGCGGGUCUCUGGGCCGAUACUGACGCUGAGGAGCGAAAGCGUGGGGAGCGAACAGG
rnacentral:rRNA from 1 species